GGCAGCAGCCCGGCCUUGAAGCCGGAUCUCGCGAUGUUUCAGGGCGGCUUUGGUGUCAUCAAAUGUGAGAAGCCCUGGACUUUACACAUCCCGAGCCAGUGUGAUCCAGUAUGAUUGGGAGUCCGAGUGCCAGAUGCCGGUCAGGACCUGUUAUGCUGGGUCUCAGAAUGCGGAAACUCUCCCUGUCCGAGGUGGAACAGUUUGUCCUUGAGUGAGGACUGGAGUCCUGAGUGACUCUUUUGAUUUGAUCCUGUUUCCCUCAAACCUGAGAUGGGAGCCUCACUGUAUUGCCCAGGCUGGUCUUGAACUCCGGAGCUCAAGUGAUCGUCUUGCUUCAGCCUUGCAAAAUGAUGGUGAAGCUGCAUCAUUGUCUGGGAUGGAGUCCCUGUCUGACCGGGCCAUGUUGUAUGUUCCUUGCUGUACACGUGGUUGACAAAGAAAAGGGAAGAUGGAGCUGCGAUGUUGGACAUGCCUGGCCCCCAGGACAUACAGCCCUGCCGAGCAAAUAAUGAACGUAACUCACAAACUUCCUGCUUAUCAUCAAACGCACGCAUCCACUUAUCAUCAAACACCUCGGGUGACAGAAGAAUGCAGGUCAGCUCCCUGCUGCCUUGGCAUUAUCAAUCAGCCCAGGAACCAUCCUAUAAAAUCUCCAGCAAGCCUUUGUUUCCUUGCAGUCAGCUCCUCUUCCACUGAUUCUGCCUGUUGCUCCCUGAUAACAUACUUUGAUACUGUCUUUAAUAAAUCUGCCUUUCUUCACCCACAGCUGUCUUGGUAAGUUCUUU
rnacentral:lncRNA from 10 species